UACGUAGGUUGCGAGCGUUACUCGGAAUCACUAGGCGUAAAGCGCGUGUAGGCGGUAUUUUAAGUCUGUUGUGAAAUCUUAUGGCUCAACCAUAAAAUGUCGACAGAUACUGAAAUGCUGGAGUGAGGUAGGGGAAACUGGAAUUCCAGGUGUAGCGGUGGAAUGCGUAGAUAUCUGGAAGAACGCCAAAGGCGAAGGCAGGUUUCUGGGCCUUUACUGACGCUGAGACGCGAAAGCUAGGGGAGCAAACAGG
rnacentral:rRNA from 1 species